UAAUCACUUGUCUCUUAAAUGGGGACCUGUAUGAAUGGCUUUUCACUCUUUCACUGUCUCUCUUCCCUCCCUCCUAAUCUUCUAAUCACGUGAAGAAGCGUGAACGAAUAAGAAAGACGAGAAGACCCUGUCGAGCUUAAGCUAACCCUGAAAUAUCGUCUACCUUUUCUCUUAGAAAGAGGUAAAUUUCAGAUGAAGUUUUGGUUGGGGCAACCGUGGAGAAAAAGAAUCCUCCAGUUAGUUAGGAAGAAAACCUUUCACCUAAAAAAUUUAGCGACCCAGUUACUCUGGUAAACGGAAAAAGUUACCGCAGGGAUAACAGCGUUAUCUUCUCUAAGAGCCCAUAUUGACGAGAAGGAUUGCGACCUCGAUGUUGGAUUGGGGUAACC
rnacentral:rRNA from 1 species